AAUCUGGUUGAUCCUGCCAGUAGUCAUAUGCUCGUCUCAAAGACUAAGCCAUGCAUGUCUCAGUGCAAGCCGAACUAAGGUGGAACCGCGAAAGGCUCAUUAAAUCAGUUGUCGUUCACAGGAUCGUGCCACACCCUACAUGGAUAACUGUGGUAAUUCUAGAGCUAAUACAUGCCGAUAGAGUCCCGGCAACUCCCCGGGUUCGCCCGGGGCAGGGACGCUUUUAUUAGAUCAAAACCGACACCGCGGGCUUCCGGGUCCGCGGUUUCUCCAGCACUUCGCGUGCACACUGGACGAUUCCGAAUAACUCCGGCCGAUCGCAUCGGACCUUCGCGGUCCGGGCGACGCAUCCUUCAAAUGUCUGCCUUAUCAACUUGCGACGGUCGGGUAUUGGCCUACCGUGGUUGCGACGGGUAACGGGGAAUCAGGGUUCGAUUCCGGAGAGGGAGCCUGAGAAACGGCUACCACAUCCAAGGAAGGCAGCAGGCGCGCAAAUUACCCACUCCCGGCACGGGGAGGUAGUGACGGAAAAUACCGAUGCGGGACUCAACCGAGGCCCCGUGAUCGGAAUGAGCGCCCCGUAAACAAGGCGACGAGGACCCAUUGGAGGGCAAGUCUGGUGCCAGCAGCCGCGGUAAUUCCAGCUCCAACAGCGUAUACUAAUGUUGUUGCGGUUAAAAAGCUCGUAGUCAGAAUUGUGUUCCGCGCCGACGGUUCGACGGGCUCAGUCCCGUUGCACACCGACGCGUUAGCGGAACAUCCGGCCGGUGGCGGUAGCGGCGCCGCCCGCCGGGCUCGCCCGUCCGCUUGCGGACUCGGGACGUUCGGCCCGGCCCCUCGCCGCGCGGAGCCGUUAGCCCACAUCCCGCUUCGGCGGAUCAAGCGCGGCCCGCCGGGGGUCCUCCGGGACCCGGUGUCCGGGUCCCCGCUCGGCAUUCCCGCCGCGGUUCGUCCGCGCGCGGGAGAGCGGGCCCGAUCGGGCUCACCGGCGGCGCGGUGAGGCACCGCGCCUCGCCCGGCCUCGGCCGGGAGACCGUCCGCCAAUCUUCCCGCUGCGGUGCUCUUCAUCGAGUGUCGCUGCGGGCCGGCACACUUACCUUGAACAAAUUAGAGUGCUCAUCGCGAGGCGUUCAAAAAACGUCCGAAAGGGCGUGGCCCGCAUACAGGUGCAUGGGAUAACAGAAUACGACCUCGGCUCCGGGGUUUCGUCGGUUCACCGGGCCCGCCGACGACCCGGAAGCGUCGGACACCCGCCUUCGGGCGGGCACCGGCGUCUGACGGCGCGGCGGGUCUUUGCGGGGUCCGAGGUAAUGAUCGAUAGGGGCGGACGGGGGCAUCCGUAUUGCGACGUUAGAGGUGAAAUUCUUGGAUCGUCGCAAGACGAACAGCUGCGAAGGCGCUUGUCAAGCACGUUCCCGUUGAUCAAGAACGAAAGUCAGAGGUUCGAAGGCGAUCAGAUACCGCCCUAGUUCUGACCGUAAACUAUGCCAGCUAGCGAUCCGCCGACGAUCCCUCCGUUAUGGCUCGGCGGGCCGCUUCCGGGAAACCAAAGCUAACGGGUUCCGGGGGAAGUAUGGUUGCAAAACUGGAACUUAAAGGAAUUGACGGAAGGGCACCACCAGGAGUGGAGCCUGCGGCUUAAUUUGACUCAACACGGGAAACCUCACCAGGCCCGGACACCGGAAGGAUUGACAGAUUGAGAGUUCUUUCUCGAUUCGGUGGGUGGUGGUGCAUGGCCGUUCUUAGUUGGUGGAGUGAUUUGUCUGGUUAAUUCCGAUAACGAACGAGACCCCGUCCUGCUAGUUAGGCGAUCCGGGCGCCUCCCGCUCUGGGGCGGCGGUUCGUUCGCGGGCCGUCGUUCCUGGACGUGGGGCUCUAAGCCCGGGACCCGGUAUCGUGAUCCGCACCCCGUCCGCCUCUCGGGGCGAGACCCCGUCGGGGCGGCCGUCGGCGCGGUUCGCGCCGUUGUCGGCGGUCGUUUACCGGCGGGAGCAGUGGGUCGGAGGGCCCGGUCCUCUCGGGGGCCGGACACGCUCGCUACCGGCGGAAUUUUACUCAGCUUCUUAGAGGGACAAACGGCGCAGUCAGCCGUGCGAUACGGAGCGAUAACAGGUCUGUGAUGCCCUUAGAUGUCCUGGGCGGCACGCGUGCUACAAUGGACGGAUCAGCGUGUUCUACCCUACGUCGAGAGACACCGGUAACCCCCUGAAUCCCGUCCGUGGAAGGGACCGGGGCUUGCAAUUGUUCCCCGCGAACGAGGAAUUCCCAGUAGUCGCGAGUCAUAACCUCGCGGCGAUUAAGUCCCUGCCCUUUGUACACACCGCCCGUCGCUACUACCGAUCGAGCGGUUCGGCGAGGACCUCCUACCGGCUCGCCGGCGAUCCGCUUCGUGCGGGGCCGCCGGUGCAGCAUGCGGUUUUGUGCCGCGGAAAGUCGACCGAGCCCGAUCGUUUAGAGGAAGUAAAAGUCGUAACAAGGUUUCCGUAGGUGAACCUGCGGAAGGAUCAUUG
rfam:Gossypium arboreum cultivar AKA8401 contig_55036_1, whole genome shotgun sequence.